ACACCAGCCAGACAUUGCUUGGGACCCGCUGUCUUUGAAGGGUGGGGCAGGACCUGGAGCGGGUGAGCCGCAGAGAGGACUCAGGAAGGAGGUGUGGGGGCAGCGGUGGUGCCAGGCUAGAGGGGGCCCCGCUCCUCUGAGCCCCCGUGGGCCCUCCCUAUGCCGCACGGACCUCGCCCACAAGGACGUUUAAAGCCUCUCUCAUCACCUGUUGCCGAUGAACCGGCCCGAGAGGAGCAGGGGUUGGGGGGUGGGAGCUUGCCAAGAGCCAGGCCUGGUAAGAUGGUGGCCUGGUGCCCUCACCAGGCUUCACUGGUGUCACCGUCACCUUCAUGGAGUUCUCGGGGGCCCUGUGAUCCUGAGGGGGGCUUCUCUUGUGGUCCAGCAGGCGGACCUCAGUGCCCACAGGACUCUCAAUCACCCAGUUUAAGCUGGCGGAGCCUGGAAGCAUCACAGGAUCAGGGCGGGGGCACCCAUGGGUCCUCGGCCCUCCCGCUCCUGGGCUGUCCCGGCCCGGCUCUCACUGGACUGCUGCUCAUCUUCUGUGUCCUCCUCCAGCUCAGGGUGGGGAGAACACCUGAGGCCUGAGCUCUGGGUCCAGCAUCACACCUCGACUGGCACUGCUCACACCGAGGCCACCCACGUGGCUGCUCUUGUUAGGAUCCAAGGGCAGGUUUUUCUGAGCCUUGAGGCUCUCGAUGAAGGCUCCCUCCACCUCCCCCUUCGACUCAGCCCCUGCCCUGCAUCUCACGUGUCUUGGAAAAGUUGUCUGAAGAGCCGAAGCUUCUGUGAUCACUGUACAGAAGGACCUUGGGGCAGAAAUCAUCCAUUGUUGCUAACCUGAAGGGGAGGGAGACCAGUU